CAGCUCUCUCACAGCCCUGCACUAUCUGUAUAUCUCUAUUUUAUUACUGACAGCUCUCUCACAGCCCUGCACUAUCUGUAUCUCUCUAUUUUAUUACUAGCAGCUCUCUCACAGCCCUGUACUAUCUGUAUAUCUCUAUUUUAUUACUGACAGCUCUCUCACAGCCCUGUACUAUCUGUAUAUAUAUAUAUAUUUAUUGACUCAUUACUAGAUGGUCCACACACCUUAGCUGUGCUUUUGUGCAGGGUGUGUGUAAUGGGGUUUCUAUGGCUAUUUACAGAUAUUAUA